rnacentral:lncRNA from 1 species
CGUUAGCCAGCUUCCCUCCAUGUCUUCUCUCUGUCACCCCCACCCAGAGGACCACACUCCUUUCCGGUUGUCUCAAGAUCAAAGGUGGCUGCCAUGACACCAACCAUCAAGCCGACGAUGAAGGCGCAAGGAAGCGAGGAAACGCACCACACCUAGUCAGGGAGCUGGCAGGAGAGGAAGUUUUUACAAAUGGAUAGUGGACGCCGUGGCCCUCGAAAUGGCCCACAGCCAUCAGUCAUUGACAGCCUCCAUGUCCCAGCGUGGCAUCCUCCUGAGCAGAAGCCUUGCAGAAACUGUCUUUUCACAUACCAGGGAGAAGACUCAGGCUAGAGGGCUUCCUAUGAUACAGGUCAAGGAGAAAAGCCUGCUCAUCUACAAGCCAUUCUUCCUUCUCUCCUUAUCCUGGACACCCUCCAUGGCCUGUUUCCCAGGGUUACAGGAGAUUGGCCUGCAAUCUCAAAUUCGGGCUUAUUAAUUUAGGGAAAAAUAUAAUGGUCAAAAGGACUGGACUUCUCCUGUCCGUGCCCCACAGACACUGAGCUUGGGGUCUAGAGCCCGGGAGCCACAACUACUGAAGCCACAAGAGAAGCCACAGCAACGAAAAGUCCACACACCACACCUAGAGAGGAACCCCUGCUUGCCAAGACUAGGAAACAGCCUGAGCAGCAAAGAAGACCCAGCACAGCCAAAAGUAAGCAAAACAUUAUUUAAACGUCAUGGGGAUGUAAUGUACAGCAUGGUAACAUAGUUUAUAAUAUUAUAUUGUAUUUUUAAACACUGCUAAGAGUAAACAUUAGAAGCUGUCAUCACAAGAAUAAAAAGAUUGGUAACUAUGUAUGGUGUUGAAUG